GCCUUCAAGGCGUGGUCACGUCACGAGUCCUGCAAGUAUUUAAAGUCAAGGAUAACCGGGGUCCAGCACCAAUCGUCCCCAGUGUCUUCGUGCAAGUACACAUCACUACUCAGCAUCAUGAUGAAAUUUGUGCUUCUGUCUCUUGUAGCUGUGGCCAUGGGCCAGUUUAUUCGUGAGGGCAAUCUAGUCAUAGACAGGGUAGGAGACUUCCGAGUGGAAUAUGACGAUUCGCACAACAUUAUCCUGCUGGUGAGUGAAGAGAGAAUGCUUUAUCGUCGAGGCUUCCGACAGCGUCUGGGACCCACUCGUCCGUGACCGCGAGGAUCUGCACUCCGCUGCUUUGGCCCUCGUCAAACAGAUCGACAGCAACACUGGUCUGACAGAGCUCUCACAAAGGGAGGCCUCCCGCCAAUACGAGAGCCGCCUGGAGCAGUUCCAGUGCUCCUCCAAAACCAUCUACCGUGUCAGCUAUACACCUUCUCGUCCCUGAACACACAGCUAGUAAAAGUUGUUUAACUUA